rnacentral:rRNA from 1 species
UUAGAUGCGAGAGUAGAGCAUAUCAAUAAGCGGAGGAAAAGAAACUAACUAGGAUUCCCUCAGUAACGGCGAGUGAAGCGGGAAGAGCUCAAAUUUGAAAUCUUCAAGGGUUCUACCUUGACGAAUUGUAGUUUAAAGAAGUGUUUUCUGUUAGAGAGUUUGGUAAAAGUUCUUUGGAAUAGGACAUCAUAGAGGGUGAGAAUCCCGUAUUUGAUCACUUAUCUACUAACUUUGUGAUACACUUUCAAAGAGUCGGAUUGUUUGGGAAUGCAGUCCAAAAUGGGUGGUAAAUUUCAUCUAAAGCUAAAUAUUGGCGAGAGACCGAUAGCGAACAAGUACCGUGAGGGAAAGAUGAAAAGAACUUUGAAAAGAGAGUUAAACAGUACGUGAAAUUGUCAAAAGGGAAGCGUUUGACACCAGUGUUGUUUUUCUCGAAAAUCAAUUAUGAAAUGGCUUGAUUUUAAGUUGUUAAUGACCUUUAAUCAGCUUGUACUUCACUUUUUUCAUGUCUUUUCGUAAUGCACUUUUCGGUUAACAAGUCAACAUCAAUUUCUUUGUUGUAAAAGGGUCAUUGGAAGGUGGCUUUCAUUUCGGUGAAAGUGUUUAUAGCCUUUGACCUCUGCAAUCGGAGAGAUUGAGGUCUGCAGCGUAGAUCCUUCGGGGUUAGAUACAUUUGUGCUAAGUUAUAGUUUUUCAUAGACAACCUGUUGACUAUGAUUAAUCAUGUAGCUUACUCGCUUAUGCUAUUUUACCUACGCUUAGGAUGUUGACGCGCGUGUGUGCGUG